GUAGAAACUUUCUGUAUUUUAUCUUGAAGAGUUCAGUUAAAUGAAUGUAAGUGCUAAUAAAGAAUUAUUCAAAAUUCUGACUGCUUCCUUUUUCUUAAUAUUCAAUAU